rnacentral:rRNA from 1 species
GACGUAGGAUGCGAGCGUUAUUCGGAUUUAUUGGGCGUAAAGCGUGCGUAGGCGGCUAUUUAAGUCUGGUGUUAAAGCUAGGGGCUCAACCCCUGUGAUGCACUGGAAACUGGGUAGCUUGAGUGCGGUAGGGGAGGUGGAAUUCCGAGUGUAGCGGUGAAAUGCGUAGAUAUUCGGAAGAACACCGGUGGCGAAGGCGACCUUCUGGGCCGCAACUGACGCUGAGGCACGAAAGCCUGGGGAGCGAACGGG